UUAUGAGAUAACCUAACCCCUAUCUAUGAACCUUGGGUAAUACUAUAUUAUUUAUCUAUGUGUUACUCUCUUUCCUUGUCUAAGGGUUAUGAUGGUUAUGGUAUGGUUAUUUAUUUAUGUAUACUGGUGUUGAGUUAAUUUUUAUUUAUUAUUCGUUACUCAUUGUAAAUGUUACCAAUGAAAACAGGAAAAUUUAAUCUUUUUUUGCUAAAUUCACUUCUAAUUGAGUAUUUUAAUGCUUACCCUUGGCACUCCUUAGUAAAUAAUAGAAGAUAAUUCAGUUGAUUCAGCCAUGGAAAUAAACACUGAAACUAAAAAGGAGUUAAUUGAGGGUGACCAACAAUAUAUGGGCUAUCCACUUCCCUAGAUCUGGAAGUUUUGAAGAAUAAACAAAAGACUCAGAUAUGGAAACAAAAACUCAAAUUAAGAAUGAGUCACUUGAGGAUGACCAACAAUAUAUAGAGUAUCAACAAUCCACGUCCCUAGAUGUGGAAGGCUUGAAGAAUGAACAAAAGGAAGACUCAGCUAUGGAAAUAAAAACUGAAAUUAAGAAAGAGUUCCUUAAGAGCGACCAACAAUAUAUAGAUAAUCAGCUUUCCACGUCCUUAGAUCUAGAAGACUUAAAGAAUGAACCAGAGGAAGAUUCAGAUUAUUCCCAGAAGAACCGAGUGGAAAUUAUAAGAACGUUACCUACAUUUUCAUGUAAAAAACAACGACCUAUGAAGAAGCCUAAACGAAGUCUAAACUAUGAAGAUUCUGCUUGCCCUGAAGAUUUCUCUGGCAUAAAUAAUUUAAACAAAAAUACAAUCGUUCAGACUGAAGAAAGGCUUUACAAAUGUGAAUUUUGUCUUAAACAGUUUGCUACAACAUUUAAUUUGAAAAUACACUUGAGAGUGCACACUGGAGAGAAGCCUUACAAGUGUGAAAUUUGUUCUAAGGGGUUUACACAAGCAAGUACAUUGAAAAUCCAUUUGAGAAUACACACUGGUGAAAAGCCUUACAAGUGUGAAAUUUGUUUUAAGCAGUUUAGUUUAGCAGGGAAUUUGAAAAUGCAUUUGACAAUACACACUGGAGAAAAGCCUUACCAUUGUGAAAUUUGUUUUAAACAAUUUAGUCACGAUGGGGACUUGAAAAAGCAUUUAAGAAUACACACUGGAGAGAAGCCUUACAAGUGUGAAAUUUGUUCUAAUAGGUUUACAGAAGCAAGUAAAUUGAAAAUCCAUUUGAGAAUACACAGUGGAGAAAAGCCUUACCAGUGUGAAAUUUGUUUGGCGCAGUUUAGUCAAGGUGGACAUUUGAAAAGUCAUUUAAGAAUACACACUGGAGAGAAGCCUUACAAGUGUGAAAUUUGUUCUAAGGGGUUUACAGAAGCAAGUAAAUUGAAAAUGCAUUUGAGAAUACACAGUGGAGAAAAGCCUUACCAGUGUGAACUUUGUUUUAAGCAGUUUAUUCAUUUAACUAGUUUGAAACGGCAUUUGAGACUGCACACUGAAGAAAAGCCCUACCAGUGUAAAAUUUGUUUUAAGCAAUUUAUUCAUUUAACUAGUUUGAAACGGCAUUUGAGACUGCACACCGAUGAAAAGCCUUAACAGUGCGAAAUUUGUUUUAAGGAAUUUCGUCUAGCAGACAGUUUGAAAAAGCAUUUGAGAAUGCUCACUUAAGAAAAGCCUUACAAGUGUGAAAUUUGUUCUAAGCCAGAUUUGUUUAAUUUUUUUUUAUGUUUUGUUUAUCAACGACUCAGUUUAAUAUUGCAAAUUGACCUUGACCAUAACCAUUGCAAACUACCAUUGUGAGAAUUGUUUACAUGAAUUUCCCGAAAGUGACAAAUAUAAUAAGCUUCGUUGUUUUGGGGAAUGUCAGCGAAAUGUAUGUAUGCGAUGUUCCGGAUUCAACAAGACCAUCACCAAAACUCUCCUGGACCCAAAGAAUUCAAAUUUAAGAUUUUUCUGUUCACUAUGUGAUUCGCCAAGCCUCAGAUAUUUAAAUGAAAAAAUAACAAAUCUAUCAAAAAAUCAGAUACCACAAGAGAACUUUAAUGCCUUGAUUCAACUAACUAAAAAAGUGACUGACAGUUUGCCUGUUUUCACGGAGACAUACGAUUUAUUAACAAAAAAUGAUGGCAAAUUGGAUUACCUUACAAAAAAAAUUGAGGAGAUACAUAAAUGAAAUAGCCUGCUGAAUCCUGAAUAUCUUUUAAAAUCUAUUCGGCAGAUGCAACAAGAUAUCUUAAUAUAUAUCGUCAGUUUUUUUCGGCUGUUACGAUGAGACUAUUAAGGUUCAAGUUGAAGACUCAAAUUCAUCCGAGAUAAAAUUGGGAUUACAAAGUCUAUCUGCAAACAUCAGCGAAAUAUCUCAUCAGAUGAGUAAUCUUUCCAACAAGCUACCUGCUAUACAAACUGAAAAGGAGGUAUCAAAAAAAAAGAUAGUGUAUGUCACUUCAAGCACCCAAACUGAAGAUCCUCAACAUUUCCAAACCUGUCCAGAAAGAAAGUCACAAAUUUCAGAAGAUAAGUGCCACUUUGUUGUUAUUAGUAACAUAGCACCAGCAUACACCCCCAUACAAAUAGUUCACUACAUUAAAGAGAGGCUAGGUAUUAAGGAUUAUAUCAGAUGUUACGCACUCCUUAAAGACGCCAACACAGCAACUGGUUCCUCAUUCAAAAUAGGCAUAAAAUCUAGAACAUAUAUCGACUUAUUAUUUAAUAAGGAAAUUUGGCCACCUGGUGUCAACAUUAAAUGGUCUACAGAAUCAUCAUACUCUGAACCAAAGACUUCAACUGAACAAAAUAUGUAUCCGAAGUACAUCAGAAGCCCGGUUAGCUUGGAAAAUCCAAUUUCCAUUCCAAGCAACAACAAAACAAGCAGGCCAUCACAAUUUGCAAAUCUCAAGAGCCUUUCCGUUCCCAUAUCAAUUUUAUUAAAAAAGAUACUUUGGAACCAUCUAUAAAUUUGGAUCCAUUAACACCACCAAGAGUUAGACUAACUAAUACCUCGAACAGUCGAUAUCUUCUUGCAAGAUUAAGGGAACCGGAUAUCUUAAAAGCAAUUAAAAUACAUCUUGCUUUUCUACAUGAUCAGCCUGCUUCUGUAUUUUAUGAUGGAUACACCAACACCAGCGUGAAACUCUUUUUGGCUUCAGAAGGACUACCUAGGAAGACUGAAGAACUACGAAAAGUUCUUCUAGAAUUAAACCAUGCCUAUGGAAUUGGACCAGCUGAAGUGGAAGCUGAUCUUGCCGCUUAUAGGUCCUUUCUCACUUCGGAAAGGAUUAUACACCUACAAAAGUCAAGGGAAUGCCACCGAAGUUAUUACUCCACUGGCACUCCAAAGCGAAAUUUUUAAAUAACACGACGUGUUCUGAGGGACUAGAAACCUCAAAUUAUUUUAGUGAUGACAACUUUGGCAUGGUUCUGAUUGAUUAAUAUUCGUUCUAUAAGAAAUAAAACUGAUGAAUUAUUUUUGUUUCUGGAGGAAUUAGGAUUUCCCCCGAUAGUUGCGAUUACAGAGCAUUGGCUUGAAGUCAAUGAGCCUUUUUUUGUAGAAAAAUAUACCACAAUUGCCAGGUAUGAUCGUCCAAGUUCGGCUCACGGAGGGACCCUGAUUUUAUCCAGAAAUAAUGAUUUUUCUGUAGUAACCAAAUAUGACUUUUUGUUAGAUUUUUCCCAGAAGAACCGAGUGGAAAUUAUAAAAACGUUACCUACAUUUUCAUGUAAAAAACAACGACCUAUGAAGAAUCCUAAACGAAGUCUAAACUAUGAAGAUUUUGCUUGCCCUGAGGAUUUCUC